rnacentral:rRNA from 1 species
AUUGAACGCUGGCGGCAGGCUUAACACAUGCAAGUCGAACGAGUGGCGGACGGGUGAGUAAUGCUUGGGAAUCUAGCUUAUGGCGGGGGAUAACUACGGGAAACUGUAGCUAAUACCGCAUACCAUAGGAUGAGCCCAAGUGGGAUUAGGUAGUGGGUGGGGUAAAGGCUCACCAAGCCGACGAUCCCUAGCUGGUCUGAGAGGAUGACCAGCCACACUGGGACUGAGACACGGCCCAGACUCCUACGGGAGGAAGCAGUGGGGAAUAUUGCGCAAUGGGGGCAACCUGACGCAGCCAUGCCGCGUGGAUGAAGAAGGCCUUCGGGUUGUAAAGUUCUUUCGGUAGGAAGGCGGUAACUACAGAAUAAGCACCGGCUAACUCCGUGCCAGCCGCCGCGGUAAUUC